CAGUAGUCUAGUAACGAACCUGGACUCGAUCUACUACUGAACUAGGAUAUUGUGCUGUGUAAAUAAUUUGCAUUGAGGAGAGUCCAUCAGCUCACUAACACGGGUGAGGGACAGGGACCAAAGAGGAGGCUCUACAACAUGAGGAAAGACGGCGAUCCUCAAGCAGUCAGUCCAUGAGCCCACGUCUUCAGGCCAGGGGCCCGAGAGAAAUUUCCAGUGACAUGGAUCAACAGAGAUCCUCAAACAGUCAGUCCAUGUGCCACGUUCCAGCCAGGGACCAAAAGGGGGACUUUCGUCAUGGGGCCAGACAGACAUCCUCAAGCAAAAUAGAGAGAUGCAUCCAGGCCACCCACUAGGAGGUGGGAAAUCGUACGAAGAGGUGGCUGUACCUGGCAGCAGACUGAGAUGGGGUGAGGAAGAGAAGCACAGACCAAGAACGGAAUGUCAGACAUUUGCCCUUUUUUAUGCCCAGCACACACAGACACACACACACACACACACACACACACACACACACACACACACACACACACACACCAGCAUAUAAACAUGCACAUAGACACAGGCGCACGUGCACACACAUACACAGACUCUCAAACAAGAUGAGUCUCUGGUGAUGUUGGCAAAUAAUCUGAAUCGAUACACACGGCAAUGAUUCCACCAUGGUGCCCCACCUACGCGAGUCCUGUCCUUCAGCAUUGACUUUCUCCCCAGGUGUGGUGUGCCUUCAUCCGAACCACAAUGGCAUCCCAAGCAGCAACAAAUACCUGCACGCAUGCAUGCUACGGUACACACACAAACACACUGGACUGUGAACUAGGUCAGACACACACACAUGCUCAAAGUAGCCAAGAUCGAAAAGGCUGCAUCGGUGGCUUGACUGCAUCCAUUUUUUGGAGGAACACCUUUGUCAAUUUGGAGGAACUUUGUUGUGGGAAGAUAUUUUAAAAUGUUGAUAGUCAGACUCUUGUAUACCCAUUCGCUUCACUUUGAUGUAUUUUGUAAUUGAGAUGAUUUAUGCCACAGUGCUGAAUUAACACAUCAUGACAAAGAUGUCGCCUUAAAAGGUAUGUUUGGUACCUGUGGGUCAAAUGUCUCAGGAGCUCCCUGACUGCAGAACGUCUCAGGAAAGGACUCAACUUUUUAUAUUGUAUGCUGGGUGCGAUUUGUCAGAAAACCAGAAAGGGGGAUGUGUUUCAGAUGUCAACAAUAUCAA